AGUGAACGCUGGCGGUAGGCCUAACACAUGCAAGUCGAACGGCAGCACAGUAAGAGCUUGCUCUUACGGGUGGCGAGUGGCGGACGGGUGAGGAAUACAUCGGAAUCUACUUUUUCGUGGGGGAUAACGUAGGGAAACUUACGCUAAUACCGCAUACGACCUACGGGUGAAAGCAGGGGAUCUUCGGACCUUGCGCGAUUGAAUGAGCCGAUGUCGGAUUAGCUAGUUGGCGGGGUAAAGGCCCACCAAGGCGACGAUCCGUAGCUGGUCUGAGAGGAUGAUCAGCCAGACUGGAACUGAGACACGGUCCAGACUCCUACGGGAGGCAGCAGUGGGGAAUAUUGGACAAUGGGCGAAAGCCUGAUCCAGCCAUACCGCGUGGGUGAAGAAGGCCUUCGGGUUGUAAAGCCCUUUUGUUGGGAAAGAAAAGCAGCAGGUUAAUACCCCGCUGUUCUGACGGUACCCAAAGAAUAAGCACCGGCUAACUUCGUG
rnacentral:rRNA from 1 species